rnacentral:rRNA from 1 species
AAUUAUACCCCCUCAAUCGCCAGAGAACUACGAGCAAAGCUUAAAACCCAAAGGACUUGACGGUACCCCAUACCCACCUAGAGGAGCCUGUCCUGUAAUCGACGACCCACGCUAAACCUCACCAUUUUUAGCUAAUCAACCUGUAUACCUCCGUCGUCAGCCCACCCCGUGAGUGUUAAUAAGUGAGCUUAAUGUUUCUACAUCAAUACGUCAGGUCAAGGUGCAGUAAAUGAAAUGGGAAGAGAUGGGCUACACUCUCUAAUUUAGAGAAAACGAAAAACUAUUUUUGAAAUUUAGUUAGAAGGCGGAUUUAGUAGUAAAAAGAAAUCAUUAAGCUCUUUUUAACCCGGCACUGGGGUGUGUACACACCGCCCGUCACCCUCUUCGUAGCAAACAAACAGUAUUUAACUAAAUUUAGCUCUGUAGAAGAGGCAAGUCGUAACAUGGUAAACGUACCGGAAGGUGUGUUUGGAAA